GUGGGGAAUAUUGCGCAAUGGGGGAAACCCUGACGCAGCAAUACCGCGUGAGUGAAGAAGGUUUUCGGAUCGUAAAACUCUUUUAUUGGGGAAGAAGAAGUGACGGUACCCAAUGAAGAAGUCCCGGCUAACUACGUGCCAGCAGCCGCGGUAAUACGUAGGGGACAAGCGUUGUCCGGAAUCACUGGACGUAAAGGGCGCGUAGGAGGUUUUAUAAGUCAGAUGUGAAAGGUACCGGCUCAACCGGUGACGUGCAUUUGAAACUGUAAGACUUGAGUACUUGAGAGGCAAGUGGAAUUCCUAGUGUAGCGGUGAAAUGCGUAGAUAUUAGGAGGAACACCGGUGGCGAAGGCGGCUUGCUGGACAGAUACUGACGCUGAGGUGCGAAAGCGUGGGGAGCGAACAGGAUUAGAUACCCGUGUAGUCC
rnacentral:rRNA from 1 species